GGUUUAAUUCGAAGCAACGCGAAGAACCUUACCAGGGCUUGACAUGCCGCUGACCGGUGCAGAGAUGCAUCUUUAUCCUUCGGGGUACAGCGGACACAGGUGGUGCAUGGUUGUCGUCAGCUCGUGUCGUGAGAUGUUGGGUUAAGUCCCGCAACGAGCACAACCCUUGUCUUUAGUUGCCAUCAUUAAGUUGGGCACUCUAAAGAGACUGCCGAUGACAAAUCGGAGGAAGGUGGGGAUGACGUCAAAUCAUCAUGCCCUUUAUGUCCUGGGCUACACACGUGCUACAAUGGUCGGUACAACGAGAAGCAAGUCAGCGAUGGCAAGCAAAUCUCUAAAAGCCGAUCCCAGUUCGGAUUGCAGGCUGCAACUCGCCUGCAUGAAGUCGGAGUUGCUAGUAAUCGCGGAUCAGAAUGCCGCGGUGAAUGCGUUCCCGGGUCUU
rnacentral:rRNA from 2 species